AAUAAGAUCAUUUUUCAGUUUUUUAUCCAAUAGUUUGACUUUCGUCUUAUUUCAAAUUUUUGUGAUUAGUAUUUUAUUCUUACUAGAUGAUAAAGUAUAAAUAGUACUUUAUGCAUGACUAAUUUUUUAAAGUUUUCUAUAAUUUUUUCAAAUAAGAUAAAUGGUCAAACGUUAGACACGAAAAAUAAAAAAUGAAUUUAUU
rnacentral:pre_miRNA from 1 species